UAGUCGAUGGGAAACAGGUUAAUAUUCCUGUACUUCUGGUUACUGCGAUGGAGGGACGGAGAAGGCUAGGCCAGCUUGGCGUUGGUUGUCCAAGUUUAAGGUGUAGCUGAAAUCUUAGGUAAAUCCGGGGUUUCAAGGCCGAGAGCUGAUGACGAGUCGUCUUUUAGAUGACGAAGUGGUUGAUGCCAUGCUUCCAAGAAAAGCUUCUAAGCUUCAGGUAACCAGGAACCGUAACCCCAAACCGACCACAGGUGGUCGGGUAGAGAAUACCAAGGCGCUUGAGAGAACUCGGGUGAAGGAACUAGGCAAAAUGGCACCGUAACUUCGGGAGAAGGUGCGCCGGCUAGGGUGAAGGAUUUACUCCGUAAGCUCUGGCUGGUCGAAGAUACCAGGCCGCUGCGACUGUUUAUUAAAAACACAGCACUCUGCAAACACGAAAGUGGACGUAUAGGGUGUGACGCCUGCCCGGUGCCGGAAGGUUAAUUGAUGGGGUUAGCGCAAGCGAAGCUCUUGAUCGAAGCCCCGGUAAACGGCGGCCGUAACUAUAACGGUCCUAAGGUAGCGAAAUUCCUUGUCGGGUAAGUUCCGACCUGCACGAAUGGCGUAACGAUGGCGGCGCUGUCUCCACCCGAGACUCAGUGAAAUUGAAAUCGCUGUGAAGAUGCAGUGUAUCCGCGGCUAGACGGAAAGACCCCGUGAACCUUUACUGUAGCUUUGCACUGGACUUUGAGCCUGCUUGUGUAGGAUAGGUGGGAGGCUUUGAAGCGUGGACGCCAGUUCGCGUGGAGCCAUCCUUGAAAUACCACCCUGGCAUGCUUGAGGUUCUAACUCUGGUCCGUGAUCCGGAUCGAGGACAGUGUAUGGUGGGCAGUUUGACUGGGGCGGUCUCCUCCUAAAGAGUAACGGAGGAGUACGAAGGUGCGCUCAGACCGGUCGGAAAUCGGUCGCAGAGUAUAAAGGCAAAAGCGCGCUUGACUGCGAGACAGACACGUCGAGCAGGUACGAAAGUAGGUCUUAGUGAUCCGGUGGUUCUGUAUGGAAGGGCCAUCGCUCAACGGAUAAAAGGUACUCCGGGGAUAACAGGCUGAUACCGCCCAAGAGUUCAUAUCGACGGCGGUGUUUGGCACCUCGAUGUCGGCUCAUCACAUCCUGGGGCUGAAGCCGGUCCCAAGGGUAUGGCUGUUCGCCAUUUAAAGUGGUACGCGAGCUGGGUUUAGAACGUCGUGAGACAGUUCGGUCCCUAUCUGCCGUGGACGUUUGAGAUUUGAGAGGGGCUGCUCCUAGUACGAGAGGACCGGAGUGGACGAACCUCUGGUGUUCCGGUUGUCACGCCAGUGGCAUUGCCGGGUAGCUAUGUUCGGAAAAGAUAACCGCUGAAAGCAUCUAAGCGGGAAACUUGCCUCAAGAUGAGAUCUCACUGGGAACUUGAUUCCCCUGAAGGGCCGUCGAAGACUACGACGUUGAUAGGCUGGGUGUGUAAGCGUUGUGAGGCGUUGAGCUAACCAGUACUAAUUGCCCGUGAGGCUUGACCAUAUAACACCCAAACA
rnacentral:rRNA from 1 species